AAGGCGGAUUUAUCUGCCGCUCAUGGAUGGGCCUGCGGUGCAUUAGCUAGUUGGUGAGAUAGUAGCCCACCAAGGCGACGAUGCAUAGCCGACCUGAGAGGGUGAUCGGCCACACUGGGACUGAGACACGGCCCAGACUCCUACGGGAGGCAGCAGUAGGGAAUCUUCCGCAAUGGACGCAAGUCUGACGGAGCAACGCCGCGUGAGUGAUGAAGGGUUUCGGCUCGUAAAACUCUGUUGUUAAGGAAGAAUACUUGAGGUAGUAACUGGCCUUGAGAUGACGGUA
rnacentral:rRNA from 1 species